AAACAUUAAAGUAAAAAUGUUAAAAUAAAAUGCAUAAUAUGUAAAACAAUUAUUAUGUGUAACAUAUUUUAGUACUAUGUAGGUCUACUGUACGUAUAGCUGUAUUAACUACUAUUAUUUCAUACUAAUAUUACUACUACAUUUACUAUUAGUAGUAGCAGUAUGUGUAGGAAAAAUAAUAUUGCACAUUCUUUUUAUUGUACUUUACAAAUCUCAAAGUGCUACCACAGACAAUAACAGUGUAACAAUUAGAAAUAAGUUCUGUAAUAAUUACAAAUACGAUCUUUGGAAUAAAAUGUGGCCUUGAGUUUAUUUUCAUCAAGUAAAUAUCAAGUAAUCUGCGUAGAAUUGACAAUAUGAGCUCUGUUGGGUUGUCUAAUAAUUUGUGUGUGACUUGUGUAUUUUUUCUCAGAUGGAUAUUACAAUUCAAAUAGGGGGGUCUCUGCCAGAUCUAAAACAGUGCACCAAAUGCUGCAGUCAUUUCCUAUGUCCUUUUUGUGAUGCCUCAGUUUUUCAACCAACACGGUUGGCAAAAGUGCAAACUCAUCUGCAGGCACAUUUCAAGAUCGGUCCAGCAUGAAGGCCAUCAUUCAUGCCCUUUGCAAGCUGCAGGGCCUGUCUUGGCAGGAGGCUGAAGAGAUGUUCCUUCAGGGCCCCACUUAUCACUCAAGUGAAGUUGAGGAAUUUGACCAAAUAAUUGCUUGAGAAAUGAAAAAUCUCCCCAACAAGAAUGUAAAGCAUUUAUUUUAUUUGAUGUUGUUUAAUAUGUAAUAUAUACAUUAUUAACCAAUUAUUUUUUUUCACAGUUUUUCUCUGCAUUGU